GAUGAACGCUGGCGGCGUGCCUAAUACAUGCGAGUCGAGCGAACGGACGAGAAGCUUGCUUCUCUGAUGUUAGCGGCGGACGGGUGAGUAACACGUGGAUAACCUACCUAUAAGACUGGGAUAACUUCGGGAAACCGGAGCUAAUACCGGAUAAUAUUUUGAACCGCAUGGUUCAAAAGUGAAAGACGGUCUUGCUGUCACUUAUAGAUGGAUCCGCGCUGCAUUAGCUAGUUGGUAAGGUAACGGCUUACCAAGGCAACGAUGCAUAGCCGACCUGAGAGGGUGAUCGGCCACAGUGGAACUGAGACACGGUCCAGACUCCUACGGGAGGCAGCAGUAGGGAAUCUUCCGCAAUGGGCGGAAGCCUGACGGAGCAACGCCGCGUGAGUGAUGAAGGUCUUCGGAUCGUAAAACUCUGUUAUUAGGGAAGAACAUAUGUGUAAGUAACUGUGCACAUCUUGACGGUACCUAAUCAGAAAGCCACGGCUAACUACGUG
rnacentral:rRNA from 1 species